UGGGGAAUAUUGCACAAUGGGGGAAACCCUGAUGCAGCGACGCCGCGUGAACGAAGAAGGUAUUCGUAUCGUAAAGUUCUGUCCUAUGGGAAGAUAAUGACAGUACCAUAGAAGAAAGCUCCGGCUAAAUACGUGCCAGCAGCCGCGGUAAUACGUAUGGAGCGAGCGUUGUCCGGAAUUAUUGGGCGUAAAGGGUACGCAGGCGGUUUAAUAAGUCGAAUGUUAAAGAUCGGGGCUCAACCCCGCAAAGCAUUGGAAACUGAUAAACUUGAGUAGUGGAGAUGAAAGUGGAAUUCCUAGUAUAGUGGUGAAAUACGUAGAUAUUAGGAGGAAUACCAGUAGCGAAGGCGACUUUCUGGACACAAACUGACGCUGAGGUACGAAAGCGUGGGGAGCAAACAGG
rnacentral:rRNA from 1 species